CGUAGGUGGCAAGCGUUGUCCGGAAUUAUUGGGCGUAAAGCGCGCGCAGGCGGUCCUUUAAGUCUGAUGUGAAAGCCCACGGCUCAACCGUGGAGGGUCAUUGGAUACUGGGGGACUUGAGUACAGAAGAGGAAAGCGGAAUUCCACGUGUAGCGGUGAAAUGCGUAGAGAUGUGGAGGAACACCAGUGGCGAAGGCGGCUUUCUGGUCUGUAACUGACGCUGAGGCGCGAAAGCGUGGGGAGCAAACAGGAUUAGAUACCCUGGUAGUCCACGCCGUAAACGAUGAGUGCUAAGUGCUAGAGGGUUUCCGCCCUUUAGUGCUGCAGCUAACGCAUUAAGCACUCCGCCUGGGGAGUACGGCCGCAAGGCUG
rnacentral:rRNA from 1 species